rnacentral:lncRNA from 1 species
UUCCAUCGGAAAUUCGGUAACCAAACGCUACCUAUAAGAAUAGCCGAACAUGCCCUACAGGAAGCAUUGGAUCAGUCAUCUAAUGGCCUUGAGAGGAUCGAGCUGGCUGUAUUUGGGUUAAUUUAACUAGGUCCAAAGUACAACCGAAAGAACCCAAACAUCGUCGUUUUCUGCACGUCAAGGUCCAGCAGAGACCAAAGGACUAAAGCUCAGCCAGGUAAGCUUUUGGGCAGUCACCAGCUUUCCUCUCUGUGGAGAGGGUCCCCUGGCUGCCCUUCUUUCCAGAAGCUCCUUGUCUAGAAUGGUGAAUACUCGUUUGAUCCGGCUCAGGUAAUCCUUUUUCCUACAUAUAAUGUUUCCAUUUUAUGUAAGUCGAGUCUUGGUUAUUUGUGAAUUACUGCUUGGAAAAAUGUCUGAACUGUUUGUUUCGGAAAUGUAUUGUUCUUAUUAUGCUUUUACCAAGUUUUGGUUCCCGUUUUAAACUGGCUGUUUAAUUUUAUUUCUGCCAUUGUUUUUAUUAACUUUAGCAGAUGCUUGCUUUGCCAUGCCAUCAUGUUAUUAUGCGUCUGGAAUCGCUUUUCAUUUGGAGUUCAUGCAUGAUUUGGAUCAGGUUUUCAUUGUUGAUGGCUUGCCUCUCCUAGUUCAUAUGGAGGCACUCUUAUUACGGUGCAAUGACACUUCUGACAUACUACAUUAUUCUCGUGGUCUUUCUAGGUUUGGUUUGAUCUCCAUUUUUUGAAAGCGAGAGUUUGGAUUGUAAAUGAAAGCUGUAUCUUAUGAUAAUUGUAAUUUCAGCUUGAAUAUUUUUGCAGGCAACAUGUGACAUUGCCCUUAUAGAGCAAAUUAGGGUUUCUAUUUUAGAGAAGACAAUGCAGUAAACUAAUAGCUUCCUGGUUUAGGAGCAGCAAUUUUCAUGGAGAUCUGGCAUCAAGUAGCAAUCACUGAAAUGUAUAAGAAUCUUUGAGUAUUAGACCGAUGUAGCACCAUUGUACAUAGAGAAAGUUUUGUUCCUUGAUGUCAAGCUCUCCUGAUCUAUUUUGUUGCUGUGUUGGGAAAUGAAUGUGAAAAAACAAAAGGUCAUUGAAUGCAAAGUAAGCUUUAUCCAGAGCUCUGGGGAUAAAAUACAGGUCAAUCAUCGUUUACCAACCAUUUCCCUCACACAACUCUUCAUAUCUCACAAAUACAAAUCGAAAAGAAAGAAAAGACAUGGUAGAGACUAGAGAGAAUGAGAAGCGACAAGGUAAGUAGAGGGAAAAAAGAUUCAAAAGAAGUUUGUGAGGAAAAGGACAGGAAGAAGAAGGAAAAGAAGAAAAAGGUAGAAAAGGGAGGAAAUGACAAAAAAAAAAAAGGGAAAAAAGAAAAGAAAUAAAAAAGAAAAAAGGGGAAAAAAAGGGAUAAUUGUGAAGGGAAAAUGCGGGGACUUACAGACUGAAGUUUUAAAUGAACAGAAAAGAGAAAGGAGAGGAAGAGAUAUAUGGUCAGUGGUGCGGAUCUGAAUUUUCUACUAGAUCUGCACUUAUUUCAAGUCUGCAAUUUGAUUGCAAUUUUGGGAGAAAAGAAGAGACUCGCUUAACUUGAUAUAGAACAUCUUUUCUUGCUGAUGUUUCUCACAUGUUCUUUUAAUGCUUGCUAUCUGGGGUAGUGUUUGUGUAUGAAGUGCUAACAUACCAUUUGAACCAAAUCAAGUAAGAUAGCUAUGUCAACACAAAUUCAAAGAACCCUUACCCUUUUAAAGAUCUGAUGCUUGAUUAAUAACCUUAUUCUAGGAUGAUCUAGGAUACAAUGCUCAUAUUGACUUUGAUAAUGUCAAGUCCCAUAUAACUGAUGUAGGAACAAUUGAGGACGUCCAACAUAUGCAUGUAAGGUCGUUGGAAUAAAUAUUUGGAUUGUUGACUGGCUUUUAGAAACAUGAUAGGGUAGGGAAAUUUUCCCUACUAUGAUCAAACAAGAAUUCAGAUAAACCUGCCAUACAAUUUUGGCAUUGGGAAAGGAUAGGCCUAACAGUGUUCUAAUAGUUUUGGGGGUAGACAGGAGGGUCUGUAUUUCACCUAUAAGUGAAAUUCCGUAAGUACAUGUAUAUUUUUUGUUUAUUUUAAAAGAGAACAGAUGAUAUAGGAGAAAGGUAAAGAAGAUAAUCAAAUAAAGAAUCGAUAUUAGAGUAUAAGAGCAAAAGACAAUAGAGUAGAGAAGGAAUAUAUUGUGAAGACAGAAAUAGAUGGGACCAAACUUGGCUAGUCAGAAGGAUCUAAUUCUUUCACUAAUUUCAUGUGCAAUAAUUUUUGAUCCGGCUAAGAGAUUAUAUUGGAUCAGAUCAUGGAUUGAAUUGCAGAGCAAUAGAUUCUUUCCAAUUUCUUUCAAAAAUUUUAGAAAUAUAAAAUAAAUGUUAAAUUGAUUGGAUGAGCCAUCUAAAGUCAAGUCAUCAUAUAAGAAAUCUAGUUUCACCAUCAUAAGCACAUGUCCAGUGAAAGAAACAUCAUGUCUAUCUAAUCAAGAUAUUUAUGUAUCAAUUUAACAUCCUUUAAGGUAUAAUAUGCGGGAAGGAAAAAAGAAAUCAGAUUUUACCUCAUGGUUGCAAGUAUAUGGUGAUUUGCCUUUGGUUUUGACUCCAUGAACAACAAAAUUUCUUUCUUUACUUUUUUAAACUCAAAACCCCAAUAAGUUAAAGUUAUGUGUUCAUGUCAUAUUAGUGAUAAAUAAGUCAUUCUUUGCAUGCCAAAUAAUCAAAUAAAUUAUAGAAAAUGGACGUCCUCAUUUUUCAAAAUGUAGAUAACAUAAUCAAGUUGGAUUUUAUGUUUAUGAGGGGAUUGCAUGAUCCAUCAUAGAUGACCAUAAUAUUUAGCUCUAAUGAUUUCAAUUGAUCUUGAUCCAAGAAUAAUAUCUGAAAUCUUUUGAGGCCAUUUUGAUCUGUAUUGUUUGCUGUAAUUUCAAUAACAAUGAGAGACAGUACUGCAUUGCCAAUCACUCUUUCAUCAUGUGUUUCUUUUGAGUGAUGUAUUGGACAGGAAGAGUCUUGCCUUCAAUUUCACUUGUUACCUCGCUUUCUUCAAAUAUGUCAUCUUCUUCCUUGUCCAGCUCGUCUUCCCAUUUUGCCUUGUGCUCCAUGUCUUUCCCUAAAAUAAUAGUCUCAUUAUGUGUAGGACAAGCAUUGCUUGCAUGAUCUUCCUAUUCUGACUGCAUGUCUUGAACCUAUCUUUUGAAAAUUUAGAUGACUGUCACAUUGCUCUAACCAGUGCAACCAGAAUAUCUGGAAAUGUCCCUCCCUGCUUCUCUUCUCUUAUGUGAAAUUACUUCCAAAUUUCUUCAAUUAUUUAGAGCCCAAAACCAGCACAUCAUAAUGUAUAAUUGUUCUAAGUCGCUCAAUAUUUUGAUGCCAAAUUUUCAGCUUUGUAAACCCCAAGUGGCGUAGAUAUUUCAAAGAACUUUGUAUACCUGUUUCAAGGUUGUCACAGGUGGCCACCUAGGCACAUGGGCAUCCACACUGCUUAGGUGCCUGAUGCUUUCCAGGCCUUUAGGUGUAGCUGUAGCCCAAGCACCUAGGUUGGCACCUAGCUGCCUAAUGCUGCCCUUUGCACCAGGAAGGUGUUUGUUUCUAAAACAGUAAAUUUCCAACCAUCUUCUUGAAUUUUCUUUUAUGAACUGUAUUUACUAGUAUUAAUUUUAAAUAUGUUGGAUGAAUCUCGGAGUACAUGUUUCUCUCUGCGUGACUCGCAUUUGGGCAUGCAUUUCUUUAUCCAUGUGACACUAUUUUGUUUACUAGUUUUAUUUUUGCAGUUUGUAAUGUGUUCCCAAAAAUAUUGAUUGAUGCUAGAUCAUGUUAUGUUGCCUGGAAGCUUUAUACACUCUAAAUCAUUUAAUAACAAAAUCAUUAUGCAAGUCAAACUUCAGUAGUUAAGCUAAAGUUUCCAUUAUUGCGUAGCUUAAGUAAUUAAUGAUCUUUCAAUUUGUGAAUAUGAUGCGUUUUGUAUUUGUUCACUAUGAAUCAUAUAUAUGUGACAAUUUGAUUGUACAAGACUGUUAUAAUAAUUUUAUUAAUUGUGAGGGAUUUUUGACCCUAGAUAUCUGCCUCCGUCAAGUAGGCAUCAUGUGAAGGCAUUUAAGAGGCCCAGUGCCCAGGACUGCUUGGUCAGUUCUAGAACCUUGACUUGUUACAUUUUACAUUAUCAUCCUCUUGAUGAAGCUAGUGAAACUAGACAAGCAAGCUUUUCUUGUUCUCCAUUUGUCAGAAUCUUCUUUCCAAGAGAGUUAUCAUCUCAUCCCAAGUGGCUACUUCAUUUCCACUGCUUUUCUGAUUUUCUUCCUGAACCCAAUUCCACCACAUGUUUUUAGCUUUAUUUAAUCCUGCCUUAGCAUGCAACAUGUCAGAUAAUUAACACCAGGCAAAAAAAAUCAUCCAUAUCCAAAAGCCAAUCCUCCAGAAUAUCUUGAGUCCAUCUUGAGUUCAUCACUCCAUGAAAUUCUAAAACCUUCAACUUUCAGUUAAAGAAAUUGUUUUCUGAAUUGCUAGCUGUUAAAAACAAUGCAUUCAAUGACAUGAUCGCAUAAAAUGUUCAUUCUAUCUGAAAAACUUCUAUAAAUCUGUUAGUAGUCUAGCUAAGGAUGUGAUUAGGUUUCUAUCAAUGUGUAAAGUACCCUCUCUAUAAACAUGUAAAACCUGUUUGCUGAAUGUUUAUUAAUUUAUGUACUCAUUUGGAUAACAUGCUCAAAUACACAUAAUAUUGAUUCGUUACUAAAUUGUCCCAUUAUUUUUAAUAAAAGUUGAGAUACUGCUUUCUUCAGAUGGUGCAUGCCACUUAAGAAUUUCUAUUUGGCUUUGCCAUUUGGGGGUAAAAAAUGGAGAAUGCUAGGAGGUGAAGUUGCUCAACUAAAAAAAGCCCGAACUAGAUUUUCCAUUUCCAAAAUUUUCCAAAACUAAACCAAACUGAAGGUUGGAAAUCCUGACCCAACUGUACCAAAAUAAUGAGGGAGGUUUAAUAGCCGACAAGGUCCCCUACUCGCCUUGCCAGAGUUUGAGAAGGAGAUAGAGUCCGUCUUUGUCUCGAACAGGGGUUCUGCCCCGAUUAAUCUAGAAGCAGGCCUUUGGGCCUUGCUCUGUUACCUGGCUGGACUGCAUUCCAAAACUUCCAGGCUGGCUGGUCAUUGGAGCAAGCCUAUUUUUAGGUUGGACCAACACCUAUGGGUCAGACCUUGCAAUUCUAUAUCUUGAAACAUGCGAGCAACCAAACAUAAACUAAGAAAUUGUUAAAUGUUAGUGCAAUAAUCACCAAAUCCAAGAGCAACUUCAAUAACAUCAAGUCCACCUCUUCAAAUAGAUUCACAAUGGCUCUCACUAAUCACUCUAAAAAAUUGUAUAAAGAUGAGAUGAACCACAAAGAUAAGCAAGUAAUCUUCUGCCUUCAUCAAGGAAUUCAAGCAUCCAGUAGGAAACAAAUGAAUUAAGCAAAACUCAUGAUCAAGUUAUCAUUGGAAGCUCAAAUGGAAAUUUGCUAGAAUUGUUUUAUAAGGAAAUCUCAAAAGCAAAGUUUUCAAUAAGACAUAUGGUGCUGAAAAUGGGUUCAAAUAAUUCACAAAAUCAUGUUGAAUACUUGUUUGAACUCAUUAACUAAAGAACAAUUUGGAUUUCAAAAACUCUCAUAUUUGACAUAGUUUCAUAUCCUCUUAGCAGUUUCACUUAUACCACAAGGCCAUAUAAAUCCUCGCUGCAGACUAUGCCACAUAAAAUCCUCAUCAAUUUACUAGAUCAGGCCACAUAAAUCCUCACUACCAAUGCAGGUGAGACUACACAUAUGUUUCAUGUUUAUUAUAUCUUCUAUUUUUAAAACUUUAUAAAUGCCUUACAAAACAUUUAAUAAUAUGCUCCAUUGAAAACAAAGCAAUGCAGGAGUUCAAAAAAAAGAGUGAAAUUUCAAGUCGUACCCAUAUGUGCACUUUCCAAAAUUUCAAUUUAAAAUUCCAUAUAACUCCACAGUAUCCCACAAUAAAACUGAAAGAGAACUUUAAAUUAAUAUAGCACUAAGCUUCCCAAGAAGGAUAAGUCAAAAAGCUUUUGUAACAACUCAUGGGUUUUAAAUUUUGAAAUGGCUCUAAGAUUGAAUCAGAUUAUAAAUACCAAAUUUUCAAAGGGAACCUAGAUUUUGUAGAUAUAACUUUGAGGUUUAAAACUCUUGUAAAUGACAUAAAUUUCCAAAUCAAUUUGGAAUCUAGAAAUCACAAAGGAAGCCAAAAGCUUCAGAAACUAACUAGGAUAUUCAAGGUUCCAAAAGCCAAACCUAGGCUUGGAAUUAACUUCAAGAUUAAGUACAUAAAGUUGAAUUUUACAUCAUGAUGGUUGAUAAAAGUACUUGUAAGGAAGAUAUAAAGCUUCGAUGAGAACAUGGUUUUGGAAUUUUCAAAAUGAGAUAAACAUUUGACUAACUAUGGGUUUUGUUGCCAUUAGAGAGUCGAGCUGGCUUAUAUCAAGCUCCAAAUUCGGAACAUAAUAUGGCCAUGCUAUUGAGGAGUACCAUCCUCGAUAAUAUGAAGUCUAACAAUCAAAAUCAGCUAAAAUCCAUUAUAAAUAAAAUAUAAUAAGAGGUUCAAUUUCAUCAUUCAUCAAGCAAAUAAAUCAAGAUUGAUUCAGAGCAUCUAAAUCCAAAAUCAAAUAUCAAACCCAUAUCUCAAAAUUCAUAAAAAUAACUGACUAUAAGUCCAUAAUUAUCUAGUGAUUUUCAAGCUUGUUAGCGCAGAUCCUUAAGCCUGAACCAUCCUUUGUUCCUAACUUUAUUUGUCUGCAUACAAAAAGAAAAAGAAAAAGAAAUGAGCUAUACCAACUUAGUAAGUAAAUUUUAUACUAUCUUACUAGAUCAAGCAUAAGUUUAUACAUGUAUCAAUAAAUCAUUUAGAGAAGAUGAUUAUCAUUGAAAUAUAAAAUCUUCAUAAUAAUAAUAUAUCAUAAAUCAAUCAUGCUCUUGAAUAUACAUAAAUCAUGCAAUUUACAUAAAGAUGGUUUCAAAUGCAUGGCAUAAAUAAUUUCAUAAAUCAUGUUAACUUUAUAGAUAAAGUCAUAAAUCAUCUGUCAGUUUGCCAUAUCAUAAUUCUUAAUACUUCUUUCAGACUAAAUGUUAUGGUCACUAUUAUAUCUGUGACAGGACCAUUAUGGAUAAAUAGCAACUAUUAUUACCUAUUAGCAGGAUUGUAUACUAACUACUAUUAUCUAUUGGCAGGAUCAUAUACCAACUACUAUUACACAUUGGCAAGGUCGUAUACCAACUACUAUUAUCCACUGGCAGAGUUGUAUGCCAGCUACUAUUAUCCACUGAUAGGAUCAUAUGCCAACUACUAUUACCUGCUGCUAGGGUCAUACAUAGCUAUCUGAGAGCUUUUUAUCAUAUUUCUUAAAAUAAGUAUUUUUAAAUCAUAUUUCAUUGAAUUAUAUUAUUUUAAAUCAUAUAUAAAUAAAAUACUAGAUAAUUUUAUAGAGCUCAUGGUCUAUAAAUAAUUUUUAAAAGUAAAAUAAUUAUAAAAUUAUUUUUUUUAUGACAAAACAUAAAUUUCAUAAAUAUAGAGUUCAUAUUUUAUAACUAAGUAGUUCAUAUUAAAAUAUUCAUAAAAUUACUAUUUUACGAUAAAUCAUAAAUUUCAUAAUGCACUAGCUUAUAACCCAUGUGAUGCAUGAGAUGUGAUUUUUUUUAAAACAAAGUGAAUUGUCUUGUUCCUGAUUGAGCCGGUUGGGAGCGAGUGAUUACACCGCGACUUUUAUGGGAACUCCAUCAAGUGAAAAUCUAUUGGAAUGAAAUUUGAAUUUUGGCAAGUCCAAAAUUUUUUUGGUACAAUGGAGUACUCAUAUAUUAUGAGUGUGAACAUAGUCAAAAAAAUCAAAAAGAAGAAUAUCCCAAAAUUCCUGAGGCGCCUCGGUCAUCUCGAUCCAUACAACCCUACUGGUGUGCUCCACCACAAAGGAGGCCAUUCAGUCGGCCGUACUAUUGGCCUCACGAUAGACAUGUCUGAUCUCGACCAAAGAGCAACUCCAUAGAAGGUGUCAAGUAUUGCUGAGGAGGAGGUGAGCAGCAAUGGCCCUUUACUGCUUCUGCAGUUGGCCAAUAACCGUAGCCAAGUCAUCCUCCACCACCAGCCUCUCGAUCUGUAACCAUAGCCUCUCAAAUGAUAUACCAGUCCAUGUUGCUCGCAACUCUGCUAUAAGGAUGGUACUAUUAGAAAGAUGACACCCAUCAGCUGCCACUAUUCUGGAGUCAAUCUUGCGGAUGACGAAGCUAGUACUACCUCUAGAGCCUCUCACAUUAUUAUCAAAGUUGACCUUAAGGAAACUCGGGGGUGGGGGCUCUCAAGUAAUAAACGCCACAUGGGUCACUACUUGAGUGGCUGGGGAGUCUCAGGUGUCCUAAGUAAUCGAGGUCAAGUUAGUCGGCAGCACAUCCAUAAUCUCCUUAGCCUACACCAACGCCCUUUUUAGGGUAAAUCUCGCUAGUUGCCAAGAUGCCUCAAAGGUAUCCCUAUUUCUGGCGAGCCAAAUGUGAUAAGCGAUGUAUGCUACUUUAAUCUCCAAACAUCUGGAUGAGUUAGUCUGCAAGCUCCAUCGAAGCCCCUCCAAAAAAAACUGAGCUGUCUCUGUAGAUGCACUCGCCACUUGAGAGAACUCUACUAGAGUCCAAACAUGCCGGGCCUUGGGGCACAAAAACAAGGCAUGGUCUAGCAUCUCAUCAUCCCUACAUCUGCGCGGGCAAGAUGAAGGAAUGUCCAUACCCUUAGCUUGCAAAAUCACCCUGGUCGGAAGUUGGUGCCAGGCUACCUUUCAAAGAAAGGACCCUCAGGUAGACACGAAGCCUCUAGAUCCACUCUCCAUCCAUCCUCCUGACUACUCCCCCCUAAACAUCUCAUAGAGGUCUCUCGUCAUGGCCUUAGAAGUGCAAGCAGAGCUCCAAACUCUGAUGUUCGGACCAUCGAAGAUAGGGACAGCAAUGGCUAGGACUCUCUCUGUAAGUGCCGGUCCAAAAAGCUGGGAUACCAUAUCAACUCGCCAGCCACCCUCUCCUGACUAGAGGAGAUCCACAAUCCGCAUCGAGUCUGAAGUCUUCAUAUUGAUGUAAGUCGGCCAGCGAUCCAUCGUCAUGUCAGUAAUCCAAGAAUCGCAAGGUCGAUAUCCUACCCAUCCCCCACAAUCCAUCUGAUAUGGUUACGGACUGUUUGGGCUCUCAAGCAGAUCUCCUUCCACAUAAAGGAGUCCUUGUGGCCAGCACGGGUGUCAGUGUCAUCGUACCUAGCUCUGAUCAUCUCACUUUAGAUGCAGGUUGGCUAAAGCAGGAGUCUGGCAGUAUGUCGAGCAAUCAGGGCCUCACAUCUCGCCACAAAGGGCUGAAUGCCUAAUUCUCCCUCACCAACUUGCUGGCGGACCAUGUCCCAAGCCAGCAGAUGAACUUCACCCCCACCUUGAUGUGAUUCCCAUACGAAGUGCCUAAACGCUGCUCAAUCUUCGCCACACUGCUCUUAGAAUAUGGUGUUGGACAUCAUAUAGACAGGGACCAAACUAAGCAUCGAUUUAACCAAGGUCACCCUACCCAUCAUGGAUAAGCAUCUGAUCUACUAGCCUUCUAGGCAUCUCCGGAUGGACUCCAACCCAGAGCAAUCUGCACUUCGGGGUCUCCAUCCUGUGAUGGGCACACCUAGAUAAUGACAGACUCUUCUCUACUCAGCAAUCCCCAGCCAUUUCUUGAUAGUCUACCUCAGCUGGAUCUUGGUUUUCGGACUGAAUUAUAGGGCUGAUUUGAGAAGGUUCACCUUCUACGCAAUAGCACUGCAAUAUCUUUUCAGAAUCCUUCUGAAAGAGUUGGCGUUCCGAAUAGAUGCCCACCACACCAAAAGACAAUCAUUUGCAAACAAAAGAUGCGAGAUCGGUCUAGCUCCUAGGGUAGGCACAUAAGGAUCCAAGGCCUGCUCCAAGGUGCCUGCAAGGCCUUAGAAAGAGUAUUAGCGCAUAAAAUAAAGAGGAUGGAGAUAAAGGACAAUCUUGACGUAGGCCCACUGUAGACUGAAAGUACUUUAUUUGGGUGCCAUUAACUAGUAUGGCAAAAGAUGGAGAUCCCACAUAGCCCAUGAUCUAGUUGAUCCAGCUCGGGUGGAAGUCGAAGCUCUCCGGAGUGUGAAUGAGAAACCACCAACUCAUCUAAUCAUAUGCCCUAUCUAUAUCAAGCUUAAUAGCUAUGAAGCAUCGUCGGAUUGGGGCUCUAUCAAGAUCAUGCCAAAACUCCUGCACAAUCAAUACAUUGUCCGAAAUACUCCGACCACCUACAGAGGCUCUUUGCUCAGCACUGAUCAAAUGAGGAUGGGCUUCAAUCUCCCAACCAUGAUCUUCGCAUAGAUGUUGUACAGGGUGGUGCAUAAGCUAGUGGGUCGGAAGUGACUCGGUUUUGAGGCAUCCUAUCUUUCGGGAUAAGAAUAAUGAAGGUCUGCUUUCACACCUCUGGCAUCGACCCCGACAUGAAAAAAGCUAGAUAGCCUCAAUCACCUCCUCUUGCACAAUUGCCCAAUAAUGCCUAAAGAAGAAUAGUGGGAAGCCAUCUGGUCCAAGUGCCUUAUCCUUUGUCAUAGAACAUAGCUCUCCUGACCUAUGCUAGAAUUGGACCUGUCAAAACAUCGUUCUCCUAGGUCGAAACUCUAUCAGCCAGAAUAGGAAGAGUAAAGAGCUCACCUUCACCUAGUUGGUCAGUCUAUUGUCCUCGAAAGAAGUGGAGGAUCUGCUAUCUGAUCUCCUUGCCCUCAAUCCAAGUCCCAGUCUCAUCAUGUAGCGUCCUGAUCCGAUUUCUUUGCCUCCGAAUGAUUGUCAACUGGUGGAAGAAUUUGGUGUUCCUAUCCCCCUCUCUGAUCCACUGGACUCUGAACUUCUAUCAUACGGUUUUCUACUGGUAUAGUAGAGAGUGGUGCAUGGUCAGCUUGCUCUGAAGCUCUGCCAGAUCCUCUUCAGCAAGACCUCCCUCCUGGUCCUCUCUUUGCUAGAGCUCGGUAAUGGCAGCCUCAGUAUCAUCGAACCUUCUAAAAAUAUCACCAACCUCUAUUCGGUUCCACCUUUGGAGCCUACGCCUUAUCAGCUUGAGUUUAUGAGUAAUCCGAUACGUCGCAUUGCCCCAGACCAGCAUCCUCCAGACCUCCCUCAUAAUAUCCCAUGAAUGCGGGUAGGAGAGCCAAAAUUUUUUAAACUGGAACGGACUUCGAUAAGAGAGCUUGAUGUCCGUAACAAUGAGUAGCGGGUUGUGGUCCGAGCAAUCCUAGGGAGGUGGUGCACCUGAUGGCUCAGGAACAUCUGGAUCCAGCUAGCCAUAGAGAAAGUCAUAUCAAUGCACUCUUGGACCCUCACAGCUCCCUGUUUGAUAUUGCAUCAAGUAAAUCUAGGCCCAAAGAACCCCAAAUCCACUAGUCUAGUAUUCCAGAUAAAGUUUCGAAACUCCUGUGACUUAAUAUUCUCGAUAAAGGGCCUUCCCCCUCUCUUCUCCUGGGUGCUGUCAAUACAAUUGAAAUCCUCCACCAAGGAGGAGACAUCCUGAUCAAUCAGUCUUGCCACCUCAUUCCACACCAUCCGUCUCUCCCUGAAUUCAGUGCUAGCGUAAAUAUCGGAUAAGAGCCAAGUGGAUCCAUUACUUUCAAAAAUAAUAAUAACUACAUGCUGGGUGCAAUUAUGAAAACAAUUGAUGUUAGCUAUACCCUCCCUUCAUAUCACAUUGAUUCCUCUAAAGAGCCCAUGGGAUUCAAUGGCAUAAAACCUCGAAUUUGCUAGUAGUCUGCACCUAACUCUGACAAGACUAUCUCCGAAGAUCUCCAAGAGAAUGCAAAGAUCCAAAUUGUGCUGUUGCACUAUUGUUCUGAAGGUGGCUGCAAAAGAAGGCUUGCCUGCCCCUCGGGUAUUGCACAUAAGGAUCUUUAUGAUAACAUCAGUGGUGAAUGCUCCAGGCACCACUUUCUCUGGUGCAGUCCUCCUUGGCUUCAACAGGUAUCUUUGACUCCACAGCCCCUGAAUCCGAGCCCUUGUCCAUCAAGGCUGUCUUCAAUUUGGCUACCACAGCAGCAUGGCCCUCAGCUCCAUCUAAGCCUAGCCCACUGUCUCCGUCCCCACCUUUCUCACCGAGUAUACCCCCACCCAUCAAUGAGCCUGAGGCAUCGUGAGCUAUGGGGGCAUCAUCUGCGCUCCUGCUUCCCGCUUGUAUUCGGACCACCUUGCUGCUUUCAACCAUCACACUGGAGUCCAUAGUGGUCGUAGGAUCCCGCUCCAUCGGAUGUCGAGCCAUCGGGCCACCUAUGCUUGUUGAUCAGCACGAGAGGGCAUCUAAAGAUGAGAGAGGAAGCUUCUCCCCCAUCCGGUCAUCCUUCCCUUCCCGAGAUUCUCCUCCCUUCGACGAGGCCUCCCCAAACAUGCCAGUCGGAGACUUGUUCUUUGAGCCAAUGAGAGCGAGUGAACUGACCUCCGCCUGACCCACCUCAACCCCUGCAGCCGAUGGGCUCCCAUCAUGAUGGGCCACCCAUUUGGAUGGGCUUCUGGCCUAUUUGAGUUUCACCGAGCUCGCCUCGCACAUGAUCGAGUCUCAUGGGCUCAGCCCAUUAUCUAGGCCCAAAUCCACAUCCCUGUCCAUCGGGCCGACAUCCAUUAAGACUUGAAACGACCCACCCAUUCGUUCCGAGUCAAUUGAGCUCCCUCUGCCGAGUUCCCCACUCACGGAGCUCUUGUUCGAAGAUCGACGCCGAGCUAUCGUCGCCAACUUCUGCCACCCGUCCGAGUUAGGCGAUGAGUCGGCCAAAUCUGGGGCACCUCUAGGUAGCAGAUGGUGGGGAUAUUCUUGAAGAUGAAAGGUUGCCGGAACAUGUCCUUCACUCCUUCGAUCGAAAUGCUUGGCUUUGGUGGUUCGCCGGUGUCAAUGGCUAUCCAGAUGCGAGCAUACCCCAUCUUCUACAACUGAUCCAUAAAGUCAUCCAUGGCCGGUGGCUCGCCGGCUUUCGCUACAACUCAAGAUUUCUUCUUGCUUCUAGUACUCAAUGGGUAGCGGCUUUCACUACAACUCUCAAGAUUUCUUCUUGCUUCUAGUACUCAAUGGGUAGCCAAGGGAGUAUGAGCUAGACCACCAUUCGAUGAACUGUGUUUGGCCCUGGAACAAAAUCCGGCACCCAAUGCUCCAUGGCUAGGAGCUAGCUAGCGACAAACCACGACAAUCAGUCGCUGCCUAGAACCAAAGAAGAUAAUGAUCUUCCACCAUGUCAAAAGCCUCGGGUUCGUACUCCAGCUUGUACUUGCCCUUAACCUCCACCAUGCAGUCUAAUGACACUCACUAAUCAAGACACCAAACAAAGAUGGCAACGUUCUCCUAUUCCUCUGAGAUGCCACCAUCUUCUCCUCCGAGAACUCGAGGACAUCAGUGAAGUAACGUCGGAGCUUCUCCACCUCUUCCUUGGUAAUCCGGUGCAAUGUCCACAUUUGUUGCCUUGGACCUCCUUGCACAACCUUUGCCCAGGACGGAACUCCUCUCCUAAAGCCUGCCGGUGGCUGGUCGCCGCCCUCGUCAUUGCUUUUAGACUUCAUCUCCAUCCCCUGUAACACCAAGCAGCUGUUCAACGAAAUGCUACAAUAGGUGCAUGAAAAUCAAGAAAGAGCCCUCACCAUCGCUCAAAAGCUGGCAAGUCUAAAUUCACACGGAAUGAAAUCUCCCUUAAAUUUAUGUGGAUUUCUGAGAGAAAGCGAACCCUCGGGGUUCCCUUUGGCGUCCACACGGAAGCAGCUAGCGUAUCAACAAAGCAUAGCACCGAAAAUACAAGAAACCUAGCAUAGACCCCUCAAUGGCAGCACGACCGCUCCAUUCCAUCUAGCCAUUCCGCCCCUAGCACAAAGCCCAAAGCCCCUCUCUCCUACAUUUGUCAUCCAUUGCAAACCCCCAUCUCCCUGCCGGCAUUCUCCCUUCUAGGCAAAAGACAAGCAAAACAAAAAAUCCCAAAUUGUAACCUUGUUCUAAAUUUGUUGACAAUAAUAACAUUAUCAUGACUGGAAGUACUAGAGUGCAAGAAGGACAAAAUGGAUGAGACGGAAUCAUCUCGGAAUGAGUUGAUGCAGUGCCUGAAAUCAUCCAUGGGAACCUAUUCUUCUACUCUUCCAAAGCUGUCUAACAGAUUUGAUCUCUCCCACUUCAAUUCUUCCUCCCAAGCCCAGGGGCUACACCAUCAGUUGCCGCUGAGUCCCAGCCUCAGCCUUAGGCUAGCAGGCACCCCGGCAUUCCUCGACCUCCUCUAUGGAUGGGGCCCUCCUGAAAACCAACCGCCCUAACAACCCCAACUUACCCAACUCCCCCUCUUCCUCCACUUCCACCUCCUCCUGCAUCACCUCCCACUCCUUAUCCCCGAAACACACACAAGAACACCCAGGCACCCACCUCGAUGCAACUGCAAGGGUCGGCGAGGACGUCGAAGCCAACGAGGAUGCCCCAGAUGAUGCCACACACAUGAUCCUUAUAGGCUUCCUAGGCCUCCCCAUGCACCCCGCUAUGAUCGCCUCCUUCACCCCUCCCACACCUGCUCCCACCGCUCUCAUUGCCCUCAACAUCUUCCCUCCCCCCAUCCCUAACGGUCUCCACAUUGCCAUCCCUCUCUCUACUCCUCUUAUCUCUUUCUCUUUCUCUUUUUGUUGAGAUGUGGGGAGGGUGACGGCGAGGUGGUUAUAUUGAGAUCUUGGUAGAUCAAAUGGAAACACCUCCCCUGUACAACCCCUCGCGCUCUAUCGAAAAUCAAAACACCUCACCCAUAGAGCCCUGUACGUGUGUCAAAUGAAGUAAAUAAAUACGUGACAGACAGAGGGUGACGUCUUCAUUUUAAUAUAUAUAUAUAUAUAUAUUUAUGCUCGAUCUUUAUUUUAUAAAAAUACAGAAUAAUCCUUUAAAUGAUAAAAUAAUCGAUAAUUCAAAAAAAAGUAAGAAGUAUCGGGAUUACUUACCUCUUCUAUCCUAAUCUUUCAAACUUCACUAAAUAAAUUUAUUGAACCUAUUAACAUAUUAAAAAUAUAAUUAAUUCCUAUUUGAUAAAUUCAGUCAUAAGGAAAUGAGACUGUAGAUUGGAUGGUCGGUUCAACAGACUGUCCAGACAUCAGGACAAUUCAGCGUCUCCUAGCUGAGGGUUUGACCUAAGUGGCUUAAUCAAAGAAUAGUGAAGCACAGAUUAGAUCAAGGCCAAGAUUGAUCAAUAGGGUUCAUCAAUAGUGGAUUUUUAAAAAUACUUGAUAUGACUGAGAUAGGGGUGACAUAUGGCAUGGACAUCAAAGCAGUUUCGGAUCUUUUUGAAAAGAUCAUAUCAAGUUCAUACUAGAGUCUGUGGAUCAGAUAGAGAGAGGGUAGAGAAAAACCCUAGAGAGGAGAGAGAGAACUCUUUUCUUUUUUUUUUCUUUUUUUCUUCUUUUCUUGGCUGAACAGGGGAGCAAAGGGGGUGGGUGGUGGCUAGUCAUUGGAGGACCAGCAAUAGGUGGCGAUGCAUGGCCAGUGGUGGGUGACAGUAGGCGGCAACAUAUGGGUGGCUAGUGGUGAGGAUCGAGCAGUAGGAAGUCAUGGUAAAUAGGCUUGAAAAAUAGAAAAUCCGAGGCUUUUCUUCAUUUUUGGCCAUUGGCUUUUUGCUGGCGGUCGUGAACUUGCCGUGUAGGGUAGAGGGGAGGUCGGGGUACUCGACCUUGGGCUCGGCUUCAAAAAAAAGGUGAUGCCGACAGCCAAAAAAAAGGAGAGAAAUGCCAGAAAAAUAGAUGCUUCUUUCUUUCUAGUUUCUCAACAAGAUUGGUGGCCGGUGAUGAUGCCAAAUGCCAAGAGAAGAUGGGGACGAGAAAGAGGAGGAAGGAUCAGGUCCUUACCUUGGCUUCGGUGGCGUUUCCAGCUUCAAUUUCCAGUGGGUACAAGCAUGGGAUGUGGCGGAAAUCAAACAAGAGAAAGGAGGGAGGACUAUCCUCAAUGGUGGAGAGCCUUGGAGGGACAUGGGUUCUUUUUUAUAGAGUCCUAGGGUCCUAGCUGCCUUAGGACUCCGGCUUCAUCUCGGAUUCAUCAGAGAGGAAGAAGACUCCUUUCAGGAGUCUUCUGUGUUUUUUUUUGUUGUUGGGGACUUGGGCCGACUCAAUGAUGGGUUGGAUCGGGCCAUCACAGCUUAGGCCACUAAGCUGGAGUUGGAAAAGAAUGAUAGUCAUAGGAUAGCUGGUCGAGAUCUUUAGAGCUAGGUGCUAUUGCGGGGCCGUUGAUUGAUUCUGCAAAACCACCUAAGAGAGGAAAGUCCUCUCAUGAGGGGUUUCCUGAUGGUGGAUCCUCUGAGGCCUAAGUUAGUCUUCUAUAGAAGCAAACAAAAAAGGUCUGAGCAGUGGAUGAAGAGAAGAGCUGGUGUCGAGUAUGAACCAUGGAAGGCCAAUAAUGGAGAAUGGAUAAUGGAAGGUGGAGAAUGAAGAAUUCAUAGCUUUGUAGAGGAGUCGGAUUCCAGUGUGUAUGGAGUCCGUCUUCAGAAGAGGACAUGCAAGAUAGGUCUUCACUUACCUGAAGGGUCCUAGGGAAAAGAAUUUUAUAGAUGAAGGUGGGUACCUGUCACUUUCAGGGAUAUGCGCUAUUUGCCAGAGAGUAACGGCUUUGGAGACGUGCUUUGGCUGCCAGGGAAUAACGGCACACAUGUCCUGGGAUUGUUGAGAUCGUGGAUCUCGCUUUUAGUGGAUGCAAUGGAGGAGCAAUUGGCUGGGCCACUUGUCAUCUUAUGGGAAGAAAGCUCUAGCGCUCCUCCAGUACAGUCAUAAAAGAUCAGGUGGUAGAGGCUGGACAAUCGCUCCAAUGCCCUCUACCAAGGACAUGCAUCGGGCUAUCACUGGAUUGUCGGUGCCAUAGUGGACAGUCCGCCUUAGGAUGUUUCAGGUUUGAAAAACACAAAGCUGUAAUCUAAGACAUGUGUAUAAGUCACCUAUAGUUUAAAUCUAAUGAAAUUUAGAAAAGCUUAUCUGACUUCCCUUUCUUCUUCUUCAUCUUCUAACCUAGCUCCCCUUUAUUUCUUCCCCCCUACUUUCUAAUUCCCCUCGCCUCUAUUUGUAGUUGAUUAAGGAAUUGCAGCUCACCAGUCAAAUCAGCUACUUAGGUUAGUUGUCUAAGUAGGUUGGUUUCAUUAGGUCAAAUUACUAGAUCAAUUGCAUAGUUGGGUGGUAGGUUAAGUUGGUCACAUCUAAGUCUUCAAUGUACAGACUAAUGUAAAUGUAGUCAAAUUAAUAAAUAGAGAGACUUAUUCACAUUUAAUAUCAUCUACUCUAUAUGUAAUAGGAAUGCCUAACAUCCAGCAUGUGUAUUAGAUUCCAAUGCCUUAUAAAUCUGGGAGUCUAGGGCAUGCUAGACUCCAAGUCAAGGUAAAUGUUUCAGGUAUUAGCACCAUUUUGGUUAGCCAGUGGUCUAGCAUGGUAUAGUACUGUGGCAUUCUAUUUUGGUGCAUAUCGAUAAAGGGAGAGUUGGCGAGGGAGGAGGAGNNNNNNNNNNNNNNNNNNNNCCAAGAAGGGCUGAAAGAGGGUUUUUUCCCUCAGUUUCCUAGUUCCAAUGAAACAAGAUCCUAGGCGGCCUUUUUUUUUUUUCUAAUUUUUACAAUUGUAAAUGCAUUCAAGCAAAUUGCAUAUCAGACACUACUUGUCAUAAAACAUUAGACCAGUUAUAAUUGAUGUGUGAAAACACCUAGAUUCACAUUUGUUUGCUUGCCACAGCUGACAUGUUUUCAAAGUUGUGAGAGACUUCCCUAAAUGCCUUAGUUUGUGAAACAUCCACAUUAUAUGAUGUUAAUAGUUUUCUUGAGUUGACAAAGUAAUAAUCCUGUAUGCCAUUAAAAUUAACUUGUCUCUUCUAGACAUCAAGCAGCAACUACAAGAUCAGGCUCUAUCUUAUAAAUCAUAUUGCACGGGAUGGUUAGAAGUUUCUCAUCCAUGUCUAUUCUUGGAACAUUGUACUGGAACUUCGAGUUGAGAUAGUAGGUUGUCAAUGCAUUUUGUAAUUGAUUUAGUUAAUGAACAAAUGACUGCACUUGGAUUUUAUUGUAUAAGAAUAAUUGAGUGUAAGAACAAACAAACCAUCACUUGCUAGAUGUAAUUCCCUACACAUCUAAUAAUCCUAUGUGUGCUUAAUGAUGUCAGUGUGCUCCUAGACAUGCUUUAGGUCUGCCUAACAGAUCUCGGCCUUAGAAGCUGUCAUCAUAUGAUAAAGAAAGCCUAUUUGAGGGUAUAUCUCAUUGCCCACAUCCCUCAACACUCGAUAUAAUAGUGCAAUAGUCAUAACAAUUCUCUUGACCGGUUGCCAAAAUUGCUGGCUCAUGAAUAAGCUCUCCACAAGACUGUAUUUCAUGCCAAUCUGGACGUAUCUGCUCUCCUGCCUCUUGGUACUUAUGAAUAUCUAAUGCAAGCCUACUUGCUUCUUGAUUAGGUUAUCGAGUACAAUAUAAUUUGUGACAAAGUGGGUGACUGUUGACCUCAAUAUCUCAUCUCUAAUGUACUUCUUCAUCAAAAAUAGAACCUAUGUGGUUGUAUAUGAAUUGGUAAUGGACUUUUACUUUCUUAAUAAUUUGCUUCAUCCUAUAGAUCUUCCCAAUGCCCAUCAAUAUUAAACUUGCUGCACACAUGGAGUCCAGAAAAUGAGGCCACCUGAUCAUCAAAAUCUCCCUGGGGGCCCUAUACUAUGGUCCUUUAUUCAUGACUGUCUGCAUGAUAUGCUGCUCCUCUAUUUGGUUCAUAACUUAAUCAAAAUAAGGAUGUAAUGGGUAUUGUGUGCUUGAUCUGAAGUAUUAAUUGACCUAUGAAAAAAUAUUUUAUAUCACAAUAUGUUAGGAAAUUAAUGAUGCAUUGCCUAGUGGAAUCCAUCCAACCAUCACACAUCAGAGGAUUUGUAGGUGUCCUAUUUGCUCUAGUAGGAGGCUACCCAUUUCUUUAAUUCAUUAUAUCUAGCAGCUCACUCUUCAUGUCCAUCGGCUUAGGAGGAUUUACACCCUAACCAGCUCUUUGAAUGGAGCCAAUAGCACAUGUUGUUUAUCAUAUUCACAAAGAUAUGGCUAAAGUGAAAUCAUGAUGCAAUUGCUCGGCACGUGUCUUUUUUUUGAUCCUUUACUGAUAUGGUAUCAAUCCUUUACUAUUUUGAAUCUCUAAUCAGAAAGUUAUGCAGAUCUACAUUAUGAAUGAUGGCCUUUGUUGGUAUGUCUCAACACAUAGAAGCUCUACAGCCACCACCUCUAUUGACAAUUGCUCUAGCUAAUAAGGUCCUCCGAUGGGUUGGAGCUAUCUUGGCGGACCCAGAACCAAAAGCCGACUCAUGCUAUGAGGGCCCAAAUUAAGCCCUAUGCAUAGCAACCUCCUCCCUCUACAAGGUCCUUCAAGCUCUCCUAGAUGAUAGUUCGAAUUGAUGCCUCCUCUAUGUCAUCCGGAUUUGAUACCUCAUACUCCUUCAGAUCCCUUAAAUGAUGUGAAGGUAGCUCUGCUACUUGAUGUUUGAUCUCAACACUUUUCUUGACACUUCUUUGAUUGCUUGUCUUCCCGCAAACUACCAACCAGAUGCUGUUUCAAUCUGGUCACCCUUCUUACCUGAACUCCAUGUUACACCACCUACACCUCCAAUUGUGCAGCCUAUAAGAAUCAUCCCAUGAUCCUAAUUUAUGUUAAGCUUUGGCUCCUUCUUCCUUUGUGGAUCUAUUUCUACAAGUUUAAUGAACAUAUGUUAUAUAUUUUCAUUUCGAUUGAUAAUUAUUUAAAAAUUAGUGAAAUUGCAUUGUAAUGUAAAAUCACUAAAUUACUUUGAGACAUACCAAACUAGACCGGUUGUUUACCAGUGCAGUUCAUUACGUUGGUUCAUAAUGGGGAGGAGGGAGAAGAAGAGAGGAAAACAGAUAGAGAAGGAAAAUUGUCAUGACCCAAACCCCACACUUUGGUCGAACAUGUAAUAUGGCUGCAUAUUCCUCUAGAUUGUAACCCUAGGAUGUAUGCAAGGCCUGAUAAUCUAAACCAGAAUACUUAAUAUCGAGAGAUAAGCAAUUAAGGUAAACAAAAUACUGUAUCAUUUAUCGGUAAUUAAAGUUAUCCAAAGUACAAAUGUCAGAUACAUUUAGUAUCAAAUAUAAAAGUCAAGUAUUGCUAUCUCUCACCAAAUCUAGGAUCAACCUUGUUUAGUGAGGUGUUCUGUCGCUCUGAAAAGCAUAGAAGUGAUAAUGUGAGCAAACAGCUCACUAAGGAUUUUGUAAGUGCAUACACUAGCAUGAAUAUGAUAGCAGCUCUUUAUUAAAUAUAUAAUCACUGAGGAAAUAAUAAUUCAUAUCUCAACCACCAGUAAUUGAGCACUUAUGUGAUGAUCCCAAUGAUGAUACCAGUUUGUACAUUGAGCUUCAACAGUAUGACAACUCAAAUGUAUAUAGUAUUCCAUUAAAACAACAAUUUCUGAAAUGUUUGUUGUACAUUAUCAGCAAUUCCAUUCAAUCAGAAUUUCAAUUUGACUACUACUAUUAUUGUUAAUAGCUUUAGUUUAAGUUUAAACUAUUGUUGUCAUUAUUAUUGUUGUCAUAAUAAUAUUAUUAUUGUAGAUCAGGUCCUAUUUUUUCUUCAUUUAGAUGAUUCAGGGUCAUGUUCUUGAUUAUGACUGGUUGUACUUAGUAUUGUGUACCACAUUCUUACCUGUGGUGAAGCUGUACUUAGAUGUGUACGACAUUUUUGCCUAUAGCAAGACUAUACUAAGAUGUGUACCAUGUUUCUACCCAUGGCAAGGCCAUACUCAAUAUCAUGACUAGUCCAAAUGCCCUGAUUUAAAUCUAUCAAUUAUUCUCUUUUUAUUUGCUUAUCAUUAUUAUUUUAUAAAUUAGUUAUUUGUGAUAUAAUUGAGUGUAUUUUGGCAUCAUAGAGAAUCAAAACUUAUGUAAGUAUAAAUAUGAAAUGCCCCUAAUUUCCAGUAUACGAUACCAAAUGCCCAUAAUUAUGUAGAUGGUUAUGAUUAGAGAUCCUUACCUCUAUCAAUAGCAAAAUGCGUCUCAUUGUGUCAACUUGGCUCACGGAACACCUAGAAUAUCUCGUUAACUGCAAGUCAGUAUUUGGUAAUAUGAAAUUUAGAAACUAUCCUUGCUUUUGUUUUAAAUAAUUAUGGCUUAAUUUUUCAAAUUUUCUAAAAUUUACUUUGUCAAGUUUAUCCCUAUCGUAAUAGUAAAUAAUCAAUUUUAGAAAUUAAUGGAUUAGAUUUUACCUCAAUUAGUAGGACUAGGAAAGAUCACGCUUGGGUCCUAGAUGACAUGUUGCCACCUAUAGUUAAAUGAAUCCAUAUUAGAAACUUAAGGGAGUAAGUAAAGUUGGAAAUACUCAACAUUGGGGUGGGUGUGAGCUGGGUUUAACUCGGCCUAGAGGAGAUAGAGAAAGAUAGAGAAAGACAGAAAGAGAAAAGAAAAAGAGAUAGAGAGAGCAGAAAGAGAGAGACUUUGGUCUAUCCAUGAGGGUAAAAAGAAGAGGGCGAGUAGAGGACUUGGCUUGUCACUGUGAGAGGAGGAGAGAGAGAGAUGACAGGGCCAUUCCUCUCCUAGUGAAGGAAGGAGUGGCCAUGCCACCCUCUAUUCAAUAAUGAGUAACGAGGAGAACCUUCGGCCUCUCUCAAAGUAGAGCAAUAAUAGGAAAAGAAAAAACAAGUAAUUAGUUUAGGGCUUACCUGAGUCAAGGAGAGAGAGAGAAGAAUAAGAAGAUGCAGAAGAAGAAGAAAAGAGGAAGCGAGAGAUAGUAGUAUCACAUGGAAUAGGGGAUUUAUCCCUUCUUUUGAUCUCAAGAUAACAAUUGGUACCGCCUUAAAAAGCAGGCCUUGAUUCGGCUAGGUUGGUUAGGCCAUAGCGAGGCUAGGUCGGGGUAUCACAUCGAGAGGGAGGGAGAGAAAAAGAUAGGGAAAGGGAAGACAGAGAGAGGUCGAGAGAGGGGGAGAGGGCUUGGCAAGAGAGAGAGAGGGGACUCGGAAGCCCUAAUCAAAAUAGGAAUCUCUUGUUUCAUCUCAAAAUAGGGGAUUUUAUUUAUUUUUUGCCUAGUUCGAAUUUAAGUUGGCAAAUGAUUUGCUGACUUCAAUUCGAAAAAUUCAAGAAAAAAAAAGGGUUCUUCCUGGAAUGGCAUGUUAUGGACUCUCAAUCAUCGACUGAUAUGUGUCCUGAUACCAACUUGGCAAAUUUUGCUAUACAUAUUACUGAUUUUCAUAAUCUUUAUAAUUAUUUGAAUAUUUUUUAAUUAUUUUUAUAUGAUAAAUUAAUAUCUAAUAAUAAAAUAUAUAAAUAAUUAAUUUUAGUUCAGCUUAAUAUAGAACUUUACUAGAGAUACUACAUAUAUUUUUAUUUCAAUUGAUCAUUAUUUAAUUAAUUAUUUAAAUUAGCAAUUUUUCAUGAUAAUGUAAAGAAAUUAUAUUAUUGUUUCAAAAAAUAUUUUAUGCAUAAAUAAUACUAAUUUAUUAUUUUUUGUAAUUAAAUUUUAAUGAAUAAAUUAUUUUUAAAUUGUAAAAUAUAUAAAAAAUUAGUUUUAAUUCGGACUAGUGUAGCACUCGAUUAUGGUGUUACGUAUAUUUUUCUCAACCAAUAAGUAUGCAUUAGCAUCCAUCAUUUAUACAGUUUUGAAAAUUUGGGCUUAGGUUACUACACGCACGCUCAUGUCCAAAUUUAAGCAAAGUGCUAUUAAAUUGAGAUAGUGAGUAAUACGGACACCUCAAACAUGCUACCAAUUUUUCAAAAUAAUUUUUAUCAUUAUUUUAUCUAUAAUUAUUUUUAAUCCAAAAAAUUAAUUUAAAAACUCAUAUUUUUUAACAAAAGAAAUAUGAUUUGUAUUAUAGUGUGUAGAUCAUUCAUAGAUCUAUAGCAUAUUACAAAAUCAUACAAAAAUCCAAAAUUUUGGCAUGAUCUCCCCUCAUUUUCUCCCUUUCUGGCUGAUUUUCGGCAUGAAAAAUUAGAAAAAAAAGGGAAGGAGAGGGAAGGGAAGUGGGUUCUUUACCUCAUUUUGGGUCGAAUCAGAGUAGAAAUCCACGAAAAUCCCCUCUUUUUCCAUUGUUUCCAAGUGGAGAAAAAAUAAAGAGAAAGAGAAAGUUAGAGGGUGUGACCAUUAGUGCAAAGUCCAAUUAGCCGUGCCUGACGAUAUUGUUAAAUUUAAAUGUGUAUUCUUGGUGAUAGCUUUUACUUUGGUUGAACUUAAACUCGCUUGUUAUUGGCUGUUGAGUUAUAUCAGAUAUUGGGAACUGAAUUCACCACUCAAAUGGAAAUAAGAUAUACCUUCUUCUGGGUUUGUUAGGGGCAAUAGAAAUCAUAAUUUGUGAUUUCACUAUGGGCCUCAUGGAGCAACUCAAUUUCCAUUGCUUUCUCCUCCUUCAGGGGCAUUGAAAAAUUGAUCACCCACUACAAUAGCAACGGUGCCCUCAAGAUUAUUACUCACUGUUGCAUAAGAAAACUAUACAUUCACGGUUGCAUAUAUUGUUGCAGAAAUCUCUGUAAGCAUGAUCUACAAUACAGUGUUGUAGUAUAUAGAGUGCAUGCUUCUCUUUCUCAAGCAUGUUAAACUUCUUUUUGCAAACCUUGGUCCUUAGAAAGUUGUCACAUUGUUAAUGGAAGAUGAUUCACAGAGGCAUUGUGUGAUGAUGACUAAGGUUAAGAGCAAUUAGAGACAGCUUUACUGCCUUUCUCUCCAUUUUCCAUGGAUUACUUUUGCAAGAUUAGAUAGAAAUAGUUGAUGUAAUGAGUAGUGUGUCAUUGCUGUGAAGCCUCAAAAGCAAUAGCAUCUUAAUUAUGUUUUCUUCAAAAAGUAACAGUAGUGGUUUCUCAGAAAUCUCAAAGGCUGCAGUAUUUUAACCUGAAAGCAGAGGAAAAGAAGUGCAAGUUCCACCACUGCUUCAAUGACAUUAUUUGUUGGUUCGUGAGAAGGAGACCAUGAGCAUGACUGCCCAGAUAUAUGUUGUUUGCUAAUUCUUUAGCCAGAAAUGCCCUUGUUUGGGUGAAAGAUAAAAGAACAGCCUGUGUGCCACAUUAUCAGAAGUAAAAGCUUUCACUUAUAUAAAAUUGCAGUCCUUAUAAUCUUUUCUCUAAUGCUUUGUUGGAUGUUCACCUGUGUUGUAUUGUAGUGGCAUUAUAGAAACCAUUAUUUUGCAAUUAAUUGCUCCUUUAACAGAAGAAUAGGACCAGUAGAUCAGAAUUUAGACACUGAUUUGUACAGACAAAACGCAAAAGAGUGUGGUGGUGGUGGUGCUGAAUCCACCAUCAUGAGUUGUCAAUUCUCACUCACUUAUUGAGAAGUAAAUGGGUAUGCAUGCCCAUCUAAAUCAGUAUCUAUCAGCUUAUUCUUGAUAACUAAAACACCUUUAUUUUUUUAGUUUUAUUUUUAUUUGAUUAUUACAGAACACCAUUAGUUUAUUUAAGCUGGUAUUAGGCCUAUCCAGUGGAAGGAGUAAUCCUAGGGUUUGGCUUUACUCAAUGGAAUCAGUUUGGCAUC